rnacentral:piRNA from 1 species
UACACCCCACUUAGAGCUUAGCCCGCA